CACUCAGUUGCUGGAUGAAGUGAGCUAUCACCAAAUACCAGUUGUGUUCUCUGAGGCAAAGGGAUCAUGUAUAUGGGAUCCUGAAGGCAAAUGGUAUCUAGACUUUCUCUCUGCUUAUUCUGCAGUUAAUCAGUGCUGCUGCCUCUUCAAUGUCUGCACUAAAGCAGCCAACCGUUCGAGUUCAAGCUAUCAUUGCUA